UACAGAGGUCUCAAGCGUUGUUCGGAUUCAUUGGGCGUAAAGGGUGCGUAGGUGGGAAUGUAAGUCAGUGGGUGAAAUCUCUGAGCUUAACUCAGAAACUGCCAUUGAUACUAUGUUUCUUGAAUUUUCUGGAGGUCAGCGGAAUAUGUCAUGUAGCGGUAGAAAUGCUUAGAUAUGACAUAGAACACCAAUUGCGAAGGCAGCUGGCCACACGAAUAUUGACACUGAUGCACGAAAGCGUGGGGAUCAAACAGG
rnacentral:rRNA from 1 species